UCACCAUAUUGGUCAGGUUGGUCUUGAACUCCUUACGUCAAGUGAUCUGCCCACUUGAGCCUCCCAAAGUAUUAGGAUUACAGGUAUGAGCCACCGCACCUGGCCCAGGUGAGCUCUGUAGACCUCUGUAUGCCUACUCUUUUAUGUGCCUAGUAAUAAAUCUCUUGGUCCAGGCUGGCAAUGCACUGAAGAUUUUUCACCACAUUAUAUAUAUAUUAUCUUUUGGUUCUCAUAAUGCAUGCAAGAGAAACAGGUUUGGUACCAUUAUCCCCAGUUGAGAGAUGACAAACACUGACAGUGGUAAUUAUUCAAAGCCACUUGGAUCUGGGCAGAAUUAGAAGCCACAUAUUUUAGUAUCAGUGUUAAGUUUUAGAAGAUACAGUGCUGCUAAGGAUGAAGGGUCACUCUUAGGUUUUAUUAUCUCAGCUCUGAAGGUCACAAAUUUAAAAGCAAUAAAUGAACAGUUAGCUGAUUAAAAUUAUUUUAUUUCAUAAAAUUACACCCUCAAGAAAGGCAAGCCUUCAGAAAGACCCUAGUCAUGGCCCUGUGUUCAGCCAGCUCCACUCAGAAAGGUGAAGAGGGGGCCUGGCAUUCAGCCCCCACCCGCGACUCCACAGCUAUCCACCUGCCUCACACUUUGCUACUGUCCUUGGAGCCUGUUUCUUCCUGCCCUGUGCCCAAAAGCACAGCUGCUCCCCACCUUCCUCAGAGCAUAACACUUCCAUACGAUUGCUAUAACCAUUCAGACAAUUUCAACAAUUUCAAGCAAAUACUGAAAACCCCUGAGCCCCAUGACCUUCUGAAAGGUCCAUAUCAGGUAUUGGCAAAUUGCUACACUGCCUGCACCAAAAAUAAAAAGGACGACAGAGAUGAGGAAAAUUCCCUUCUUGCUCUUUAAACUCCCACAAGCACCAAUGACCUUGAGUGUUAAAAAACAUCUUCAGUUUUGUUUAUUAAAUCUCAAGACUUUAAAUGAGGAUACCCCCUCUCCCAAUUAGCCAGCCCAUCCCCUAUCUCAUUCCACGGGGCAAAGGCGGAGAGAGAGGGACCCUCUGGUCAAUUCUCCAGCUUUGAGGAGCAGCGACUGAGGUGGCCUCUCAGAUGCCACAUCACACCCCACGGUGUCACUGUGUCACCUGCUGGCCACUGGGCAGGCCGCACAGAAGCUGCGGUGGUCAUCCAGUGUAUCAGUCAGGGUGCUCCAGAGGAACAGAACGAAUAGGAUAGACAUAAAUAGAUAAGAGGAGGUUUAUUCCGGGAACUGCCUCACAGGAUGGAGGCUGAGAAGUCCCACGAUCUGCCGUCUGCAAGUUGGAGACCAGGAAAGCCAGGGCUGUUGUUCAGUCUCAGUCCAAAGGCCCAAGAACCAGGAGCACCAGUGUGGGACAACAGGAAAAGAUGGGCCUCCCCGCUCAAUCUGAGAAAAGAGAAUCCCCACUUCUUCCCCCUUUGUGUUCAGUUCAGGCUCUCAGCAGGCUGGCUGACGCCUGCCUACAUUGGAGACAGCAGAUCUUUACUCAGCCUCAGCUCCUCCCAGACACACCCAGAAGCCAUGCUUACCAGCUGCCCCAGGGACCCCCUAGCCCAGUCAGGUUGACUCUGAAAAUUAACUGUCAUAUCCAAUUAUACCUUUUGACCCAGCAGAUUAUUAGAAGCAAGCUCAGAGAGCCUCCUACCUGCCCACCCAAAUACAGCCCUGAGGCUGAACAGAUGCAUUUUCAACUGGAGCCGCAAGCCUAGAGAGAGAGAAAACAGAAAGGCAAGUAAAAGUAACUGUUUGGGUCAAUAACCCAUGUAUUCAUUGCUUCAGUGACAAAACUUAUUGUGUGUAAGUUCCUCGUGGCAGACGGCUGCGUGGCCUGUGUACACACGCAGGCCUGCACCUUCAUGGGCACGCACACGCCCCGAUAGGUUAAUCCCUGUAUCACUGGCUGCCACAGGCACACUCGUGUGCACGCACACACCCCGACAGGUUAAUCCCUGUAUCACUGGCUGCCACGGGUUCUCUAAGAAGCUAAACAGGGCAUGUUCUGACUUCAACAAUGACCUGCUAAUGGUUUUACAUUUCUCCCAAGUAUUAUAACCCACCUUUGUCACACUCAUCUCCUAAUGAAAUCAAUAAAUUGAGGUGAGAGAGAGCUCAAGGGCAACGCCAGGGCCAAGGGCAACGCCAGGGCCAAGGGCACCAUGAGACUCUACUAAGCCACAAACCAUCAUCUUGAGGCGAUUAUCAGACCUUGACUUUUGCUUCAAGAAAAGGAGUUGCAGAUAUCCUGGCAAAACAAAAUGCCUUCCCAUGUUACUUACAAAAAAAGAAGAAUGUGCCUGGUAGAGUCGUGAUUUUGCUAAUACUGAGAAAGCUCCC